GACGAACGCUGGCGGCGUGCUUAACACAUGCAAGUCGAACGAAGUGGCGAACGGGUGAGUAAUACGUGAGUAACCUGCCCUCCUUUUUGGGAUAAGCCUUGGAAACGGGGUCUAAUACCGAAUAAAGGGGGAUGGGCUCGCGGCCUAUCAGCUUGUUGGGGGGGUGAUGGCCUACCAAGGCGGUGACGCGUAGCCGGCCUGAGAGGGUGAGCGGCGACAGUGGGACUGGGAUAAGGCCCAGACUCCGACGAGAGGCAGCAGUGUGGGAUAUUGCACAAUGUGCGAAAGCCUGAUGCAGCGACGCCGCGUGGGGGAUUAAGGCUUUCGGGUUGUAAACCUCGUGCGGUAUCGAAGGGGUAGGUGGAGAAGAAGCGCCGGCUAACUACGUGCCAGCAGCCGCGGUAAUAC
rnacentral:rRNA from 1 species